rnacentral:rRNA from 1 species
CAGUAGCCACGGUAAAACGGAGGGGGCUAGCGUUGUUCGGAAUUACUGGGCGUAAAGCGCACGUAGGCGGCUUGGUAAGUUAGAGGUGAAAGCCCGGAGCUCAACUCCGGAAUUGCCUUUAAGACUGCCGAGCUAGUAGGUGAGAGAGGUAAGUGGAAUUCCGAGUGUAGAGGUGAAAUUCGUAGAUAUUCGGAAGAACACCAGUGGCGAAGGCGGCUUACUGGCUCAUUCUAGACGCUGAGGUGCGAAAGCGUGGGGAGCAAACAGGAUUAGAUACCCCUGUAGUCCCUGUCUCUUAUAC